rnacentral:rRNA from 1 species
UACGGGAGGCAGCAGGGGGGAAUAUUGCACAAUGGGCGCAAGCCUGAUGCAGCCAUGCCGCGUGUAUGAAGAAGGCCUUCGGGUUGUAAAGUACUUUCAGUCGUGAGGAAGGUGUUAAGGUUAAUAACCUUAGCAAUUGACGUUAGCGACAGAAGAAGCACCGGCUAACUCCGUGCCAGCAGCCGCGGUAAUACGGAGGGUGCGAGCGUUAAUCGGAAUUACUGGGCGUAAAGGGCACGCAGGCGGUUAAUUAAGUUGGAUGUGAAAUCCCCGGGCUUAACCUGGGAAUGGCAUUCAAGACUGGUUAGCUAGAGUCUUGUAGAGGGGGUAGAAUUCCAUGUGUAGCGGUGAAUGCGUAGAGAUGUGGAGGAAUACCGGUGGCGAAGGCGGCCCCGUGGACAAAGACUGACGCUCAUGUGCGAAGCGUGGGGAGCAAACGAGGAUUAGAUACC